AAUGAACGCUGGCGGCAUGCCUUACACAUGCAAGUCGAACGGCAGCAUGACCUAGCUUGCUAGGUUGAUGGCGAGUGGCGAACGGGUGAGUAAUGCAUCGGAACGUGCCUUUUAGUGGGGGAUAACGUAGCGAAAGUUACGCUAAUACCGCAUAUUCUCUGAGGAGGAAAGCAGGGGACCUUCGGGCCUUGCGCUAGAAGAGCGGCCGAUGUCGGAUUAGCUAGUUGGUGAGGUAAAGGCUCACCAAGGCAACGAUCCGUAGCGGGUCUGAGAGGAUGAUCCGCCACACUGCGACUGAGACACGGCCCAGACUCCUACGGGAGGCAGCAGUCGGGAAUUUUGGACAAAGGGCGCAAGCCUGAUCCAGCCAUGCCGCGUGAGUGAAGAAGGCCUUCGGGUUUUAAAGCUCUUUCGGCUGGGAAGAAAUCGCACCCUCUAAUACAGGGUGUGGAUGACGGUACCAGCAUAAGAAGCACCGGCUAACUACGUG
rnacentral:rRNA from 1 species